GCCGCGGUGGCGUAGUGGUAGAGACGCGUCCCUGGUCAGGUUGAAACGCGGGUUCGAUUCCCGCCUGAGGCC